GAACACACUGGUGGAGAAACUACUGUAAUAUCCAUGGUCCGUGAUAUUCCAAAGAUAUCUUUGCUUCCAUUUAUUCACAAUUUGAGCCCUAUCUCUUCUAAGGCACUGGCCUCUCAGUACUGCUGCAGAUAAUUCAGUGUUGGCCUCUCAUGGUCACAGUUUAUGACUCUCACCCAUCUACAAUCCUGGAGAAUUCCCCUGAAGCUGAUGUCCACUAUCACCUGAUCUGGAGAUUCCAUAUCACGCUCUGCUGCCAUUAGAGACUUCCAUAUUGACACAAUGUUUAUCUACCUCUUUCUGACAAAUAAAUUGCAAAAUAAACCACACGUCAUUCCACGCUGCUCUCUGUCUUACCUUGAUGUGGAAGGGGUCCCCAGUGGAGGAAUUGCUAGGUGACUUCCAGCCAUGCCCCAGCAUGAAUCACCUGCUUGUAAAAGGUGAGACAAUGGCAUCUGUGUUUCCAAAGCCAGCUACUCUGUUUUCUAACUCAUCCCUCAAGCAGAACACGUGGGGAAGGGCUUCCUGGAGGAAGUAUCUUCAUCAUUCGUGCCGAAGCCUAGCUGCGUAUCAGAAUCACAUGGUAAAUCUUAUUUAAAAUUACAGAGCUUCUGGAGUUUCCAAUCCAAAAUAUGUUGGCUAGAGCCUAGGAAGAUGUAUUUUUAACCAGCAUUGCUGUGGAAUCCCCCUGAAUAUAGAGGAUCUUCUAGUGCAUAGGAUCAAACCAGAGGAAGAACAUCUGUGGUAUGAGGCUUCUGGAAAGGAGGCAGUUCCAUCGCCUGGUGAGAGUCGAGACGAUUGUUGCGCUUAUGACCAUCUUGGGUAAAGUCUCUGGUCGCACAUAGUUUACAGGUUUGAUCAUUACUGCACUUCUCUGAGAUGAUAGAGGGAUCAUAAAAGGACCUUGUUAGAGCUUUCUCAUUAUUCCUCACAACUUUCAAAUAAAUACUGACCAGAAAAACUAGAGUAAGCUACCUAAGAGACCCUGAAGGAUAUUCUUAGUGCGUGUCUUCAACAAGCCUUGUGAGGUGGUCAUUUCUUACACUGUCACUUCGGACUCAACAACCGAGUCCAUCCUCUGCUCAGGUGAUAACCAGGAGAUGUCUCAGGCUUGCUUCAAGUAAUCCUUCAAACUUGGAGGAGGCUUGGAAGGAUGUGUUCCAGACGUCGGCCCUGCUUGAAUCUACUUAUCUUCUUCUCACACAGGAUCUCGUCCCCUUUGCUAGCAGGUUUUGAGUGCUCUGGGCCGAGAACAGGGGAUGUCUGUCAUGGUGAUCCAGGAGACAUGGGCUGGCUGAUGUCACCAUUGUCAACCUACAAGAAAUGUAUUCUCUCCAGGUUGUUUUUGAAGACAGCAAAACCAUCAAGUGCCCCUUCUCCACAGUAGAGGUUUUCAGAGGGUGGCCCAUGGACUCUGAAUCAGCACACCCUGGGUGGUUGCUAAAAAGUCUCCAUUUUUGGAUCCCUCUCCUGGGCUACUGAAUCAGGGCUUCUGCUGCUGUCGAGAGUCCAUGUUUUUAGCAAUUUCUCCAGCGACAAGUCAUCAUGACCAAAUGCUGCUCUGGAGACCCUUUCCUUGCCUCCCACUCUGUCCAUACUCCUGGAGUGGUGUUAACAGUGAUUAGAGCUGGAUUUGCCCAGAAUACAGUUCACAGCUCCUACCAGAGCCCCCUCCAGUCGAAGACCUGCCCGUGCUCCAUCAGCCGUAUUUCUAGCAACACCACAGAAGGCAUUUUUCAGGAGCUCACUCCACUCCCAAGCUUGUGUGCUUGACUCCCUUUUUCAUGUGACUCUCAUCUUCUGCUUCCAACUCGGCAUCCUGUACUUUUAAUCUGCAUUUUGAGCUCCAUGGUGUUCAGCCCAUGUUCAACAUCCCCAACAUGAAAUGCACUCCGUUCUGCCCAGAGCCAUGCCGAACAAGAAACAUGAGCGCGGCCGUGGGGCCUGAGGUCCUGGUCUGUGAUCUUUCCCCACAGCUGACUAGCAGUGGAAUGUUUAACUUCUGUUUGAGAGAGGACUGUGAAAACGCCCGACGCCCAACAUCAAGACCAUCUGCCCUUUGAGAGUGAGGACUGCGCUGGUUCUCCUCGUCUCUUCCGAUCUGUACACCACCCAUCCAUCUUACCCUUGGUCAACCAUUGAUUCAGCGUGUGUGUUCAUGCAUGCGUGCAUCUAUGUGCCUGUGUUCAUCGCCUACUGUGUACCAGGCCAUGUUACUGGGAUCAACCUCAGUUCCUCUUGUCCUGUUUAUAAAUACCCAUAACAAACAGAUUUAAU
ensembl:lncRNA